GCGGGGAAAUCCCCGCACCGCCCUCCCGCGCACGGCCGGCGGCACGGGAGCCCCGGCAGCAGCCCGGAGCAGCAGCGGCAGCGCCGUGCUCGGCCCCAGCGCCCGCCCCGAUGCCGCCGGGUGCCCGAGCCCCACAUUCCGCCCGCCGAGGGAGCGGCGGCAACGCUUGGACGAGAUCGGCUGCCGGCACCGGCAGCAGUCGAAGCGGAAGCCCUGUCACGUUAGCGACCGCACGGCAGCGGCCCGGGCUCCGCCCACGGCCCCGCACGUCAUCGGGUCGGCCCCCCCCGCAUCACAGCCGCGGCCACGCCCCCCGCGUUGCAGUGACGGCCACGCCCCCGGCGUCACUGCCGCGGCCCCGACCCUCCCGUCACGGCCGCGGCCCGCCCCCCCCGCGUCACCGCCUCGCCACGCUCCCGCGCGUCAUAGGGUCGGCCCGCCCCUCCAUGUCAUCGGGUCACCCUGUCGGCCCGACCACUUUAAUCGGGGCCGCAAAAACUGUCCCCUAUCACACGGCAGAAUGGCCGCCGACAUACUGUCCGGCAACACGUGACUAUGUAGUCGCAGGCACACUUGUCCAGCACCACGCGGCCGCGUUGGAGAUGCCAUAUUUACCUAAAAACACGUGGCGGGCAAGGGCGCGGCCAUAUUAAACCGAAAGCACGUGGCGGUCACGGGCGUCGCCAUGUUGUACGGAAGAGGGUGGCAAGCACGGGCGCCGCCAUGUUGUACGGAAGAGGGUGGCAAGUACGGGCGCCGCCAUGUUGUACGGAAUAGGGUGGCAAGCACGGGCGCCGCCAUUUUGAACCGAAAGCAGCACCCCGAUGCAUCCAAGCGCCGGGAAUGGAGGCGGAAUACCGUGCCAAGAGCGCGGGGUCGGUCGGCGUCCACCGCUGCCAGCGUCGGGUAAGGUUCAGGCAGGAGAUAAGAAGGAUGCCUUUGUGAGGGGCGAGGGCCCGAAGGGAACCACAAGAAACACGGCAGCCGACCGGACGUGUCUUCGGCCACAACAAAGAUGGCGACCGACCGGAAGUGGCUGCGGCCACAACAAAGAUGGCCGCAAGAAAGGGCGGGAAAUGAAGGACCAAGGUCCGUGUUUGGGCUGCCUGCCCGCGCCCCGAGCCGUUCUCCGCGGCAUUGCCAGGCGUGCGGACACGGGCCGUGCGCCCAGCGGCACCGCGGGCACGCCGGAGCCCGGCGGGCGCCGGCAGGCAGCUGCGGCACGCCUCUCUCUGCCGGGCUCCGCCUCAGGAACGACCCUUCCCGUCUCCAGUCUGUGUUCCCUCCCGGCUCCCCUCCCGCCCGGGGAAACGGAGGAAAACACAAAUAACAUCGAGGAAGAAAGAACAGCCUGCAGAGCUGCCCGAGCCAUCGCCCUGCCCGCAGCCGGGAGCAGCCAGCAGGAGGAGGCAGCUGCUUUCUCAGCCAGAAAGAGAUUCAGCUGUGGGGAAGCUGCAGAGAAGGCUGCCUGGCACAGCCCCCCAGAAUGGGCCUCCCCCGACUGGGCUCCCGCAGAGGAUGGGGCAGUUGCAGCCCCCUGUCAUUCCUGUGAGAUUUGGGACUGUCUCCAUGCAGGAAGCAGCACAGGGGACUGGCCGAAGGGCUCGGGCUGGGACACGGCCCCAACAGGAGCAGCCCUGGCACACUGACACGGGAGGAUGAGCCCAGAGGAGAUGCUGCUGCACCACGUCCCCAGGAGAGCCCCUGCCUCCUUCUGCUCUCAGGGAUGGGACUGGGAGACGCCUCCACGCCGAGAGUGGCACUUGGCAUGGCUUCAGUCCCCAGUGGAAGAGGCUGGGCUCCCCGCUGCCCAGAGCUCCUGGUUAGGGACACCCACGCCUGCGCCUGGCUCAGAGUCCAGGGUGCACUCAGUCCGGAUCCAGCCUCGAGACGUUCCUGCUGCAGCUGCAGGUGUUUCCCAGUCCAGCUUGCUGAACCUCCAGCUCUGACUGUUCUUCCUUCCAGCUCUGGCUCUGAGAUGCUGCACUUGAUGGCUGCUCCAGUUCCUUCCAGCUCUGGGUUGGUUUUUUCAAGCGCCACUACAAGGAGAUGCUGGAGGGCACCAAGACCCCCGGGGUGCCCCAGGACUGAGUGAGAGGAGCCCAAAAAUUUUGGGCACCCCAUCCCCCCAAAAUAUUAAAUUCACAUGGAAGCUUCCCCUGUAUUUGUGUGGAGUUUUUUGAAAUUAUUUUGGAAUUUUUUAGGGGGGGUUUUGGGAAACUGGGGAGGAGGAAACACUAAAAAAUAAAAAAAUAAAUUUAAAAAGGAUU